AGAAGCUGCCGGGCGGGCGGGCUCCCUUCCACUUUAACAUGGGAAUGCUUUCUGUCACAUUGAAGAGUAAGUGCUGCCAUGUUUUAGUAGAAGUGAACUCAAGGUUCCCUGGAGGAGUGA
rnacentral:precursor_RNA from 14 species